rnacentral:tRNA from 1 species
GGGCGGGUAGCUCAGCGGCCAGAGCGUUCGCCUUACACGCGAAGGGUCCCGGGUUCGAAUCCCGGCCCGCCCA